AGAAUCAACGCUGGCGGCGUGCCUAACACAUGCAAGUCGAACGAGAAAGUGGAGCAAUCCAUGAGUACAGUGGCGCACGGGUGAGUAACACGUGACUAACCUACCCUUGAGUUCGGAAUAACUUCGGGAAACCGAGGCUAAUACCGGAUAAUAUCUACGGAUCAAAGGAGCAAUUCGCUUAAGGAGGGGGUCGCGGCAGAUUAGUUAGUUGGCGGGGUAAUGGCCCACCAAGACGAUGAUCUGUAUCCGGCCUGAGAGGGCGCACGGACACACUGGAACUGAAACACGGUCCAGACUCCUACGGGAGGCAGCAGUGGGAAUUUUGCGCAAUGGGGGAAACCCUGACGCAGCAACGCCGCGUGGAGGAUGAAAUCCCUUGGGAUGUAAACUCCUUUCGAUCGGGACGUAUUAUGACGGUACCGGAAGAAGAAGCCCCGGCUAACUUCGUGCCAGCAGCCGC
rnacentral:rRNA from 1 species